rnacentral:rRNA from 1 species
GUGGGGAAUCUUAGACAAUGGGGGAAACCCUGAUCUAGCCAUGCCGCGUGAGCGAUGAAGGCCUUAGGGUUGUAAAGCUCUUUCAGCUGGGAAGAUAAUGACGGUACCAGCAGCAGAAGCCCCGGCUAACUCCGUGCCAGCAGCCGCGGUAAUACGGAGGGGGCUAGCGUUGUUCGGAAUUACUGGGCGUAAAGCGCGCGUAGGCGGACCAGAAAGUUGGAGGUGAAAUCCCAGGGCUCAACCUUGGAACUGCCUACAAAACUCCUUGGCUGGAGUUCGAGAGAGGUGAGUGGAAUUCCGAGUGUAGAGGUGAAAUUCGUAGAUAUUCGGAGGAACACCAGUGGCGAAGGCGGCUCACUGGCUCGAUACUGACGCUGAGGUGCGAAAGCGUGGGGAGCAAACAGGAUUAGAUACCCGUUUAGUCC